GAUGAACGCUGGCGGCGUGCCUAAUACAUGCAAGUCGAGCGAACAGACGAGGAGCUUGCUCCUCUGACGUUAGCGGCGGACGGGUGAGUAACACGUGGAUAACCUACCUAUAAGACUGGGAUAACUUCGGGAAACCGGAGCUAAUACCGGAUAAUAUAUUGAACCGCAUGGUUCAAUAGUGAAAGACGGUUUUGCUGUCACUUAUAGAUGGAUCCGCGCCGCAUUAGCUAGUUGGUAAGGUAACGGCUUACCAAGGCGACGAUGCGUAGCCGACCUGAGAGGGUGAUCGGCCACACUGGAACUGAGACACGGUCCAGACUCCUACGGGAGGCAGCAGUAGGGAAUCUUCCGCAAUGGGCGAAAGCCUGACGGAGCAACGCCGCGUGAGUGAUGAAGGUCUGCGGAUCGUAAAACUCUGUUAUUAGGGAAGAACAAAUGUGUAAGUAACUAUGCACGUCUGGACGGUACCUAAGCAGAAAGCCACGGCUAACUACGG
rnacentral:rRNA from 1 species